AGAACGAACGCUGGCGGCGUGCCUAACACAUGCAAGUCCAACGUGAAAGGGGAGCAAUCCCCCGGUAAGGUGGCGAACGGGUGAGUAAGACAUGGGAAUCUGCCCUGGAGAUGGGGAUAUCCCUCCGAAAGGGGGGCUAAUACCGAAUACCGUCCGGGAAACGAGAGGAUUUCGGGGAAAGGGAGGCCUCUGGCAACAUGCUUCCGCUCCGGGAGGAGCCCAUGGCCCAUCAGCUAGUUGGUAGGGUAAAGGCCUACCAAGGCUACGAGGGUCGCUGGUCUGAGAGGACGACCAGCCACACUGGGACUGAGACAGGCCAGACUCCUACGGGAAGGCAGC
rnacentral:rRNA from 1 species